rnacentral:tRNA from 2 species
AGGCCACUAGCUCAAUUGGGAGAGCUCCGGAUUCCAAAUCCGGCGGUUGGGGGUUCGAGUCCCUCGUGGCCUG